rnacentral:rRNA from 1 species
UUGGCUCUCGCAUCGAUGAAGAACGCAGCGAAAUGCGAUAAGUAAUGUGAAUUGCAGAAUUCAGUGAAUCAUCGAAUCUUUGAACGCAACUUGCGCUCUCUGGUAUUCCGGAGAGCAUGCCUGUUUGAGUGUCAU